rnacentral:rRNA from 1 species
CCUACGGGUGGCAGCAGUGGGGAAUAUUGCGCAAUGGGCGAAAGCCUGACGCAGCGAAGCAGCGUGCGGGAUGAAGGUCUUCGGAUCGGAAAACUCUGUCAGCAGGGAAGUACGGUCACUGUGCUAAUCAGCAGUGAAUUGACGGUACCUGCAAAGGAAGCAGCGGCUAACUCCGUGCCAGCAGCCGCGGUAAUACGGAGGGUGCGAGCGUUAAUCGGAAUUACUGGGCGUAAAGCGCUCGUAGGCGGGAUGUCAAGUCAAGGGUGAAAGCCCCGGGCUCAACGUGGGAACUGCCUUUGAAACUGGCAAACUGGAGUGUGUGAGAGGAUAGUGGAAUUCCAGGUGUAGGGGUGAAAUCCGUAGAUAUCUGGAAGAACAUCAGUGGCGAAGGCGACUAUCUGGCACAUAACUGACGCUGAGGAGCGAAAGCGUGGGUAGCAAACAGGAUUAGAUACCCUAGUAGUC